AUGGCUCAUGAUAAAUUGGAUAUUCAAUUUAAGGAAUGGAUGAUCUGCCUAGAAACCACCACUGUGCAAUGCCAGACUUACAAGAUGAAUUAUUUCAGAGAAACAAAAGAAAGAUGUUUCUUCAAGAAGAAGAAAUAUUUUGAUGAAUUACUGUGGUUAUCAGAGGAAAUAUCACUUCCAUUAGUACAAUGUAUGUGUCUGCAAUCUAACAAUAAAGGAUACAGAAUCCAACAAUACAGAACUGCUUUGUGUGGUUCUGAUUGUGGGUCUUUAAGGUACUGCCACUGUAAAAUGAAACAACGUGUGACGGAAUGGAGUAUGAAAAAGCAUUCUGGAGAGGAAAUGAGAGGGUGCCAGGGAGGCUUUCAGGAUUAA
rnacentral:lncRNA from 1 species